CGUUAUACAAUGAAAGAGAAAGUAUAGAAGAUGACUCUGUGUAAGCGAGUCAGGGGCGGUGGAAGCCUGAUACAGAAGUCUUUUAGAAAAUCACUCUGGAGUAGCUAUUAUGAAAAUAAUGUAGUAAUAGCCGGCUGUCCACGUUACGGAUUUCGAGUGAAUUUAAUGCCGUGCAUUAAAUUUAUAAGGGUGGUACCGCGAGUCUUCUCGUCCCUUUA
rnacentral:ncRNA from 1 species